ensembl:lncRNA
GAUACACACUCCAUCGCUGAGCCCGGCUCCUGAGUUCUUUCACUUCCCCAGGAAGGGGACCCAGGAACUGCCACCUCUAGUCUACUCCAGGGAGGCUGGGUCGCCAGACCCGAUGCUGGUCUCCGCUAGUCUCCUGACAGAGCAGCCAAACUCUGAGAGCCACGGGUGUCCUCCCCCCAUCCCCCGUUUCCCUGGGGCUUAGAGGCCAGGAAAAAAAGUCGCCCUCUCAGCCCCCUGACUGGCUGCAAAGCUGGGUGUCACACCGGUCGCGAUCACUCCUAGAGACUCCGGAUGGGGAGACUUUAAGCACCCUUUGGCCCCUCCCCCUCCUCUUCAAGAACUCAGACCACCCACAGCCGAGGCUCCCUCAAACUUGUUCCUUGGCACCCUCUGUGCCCCUUUUUUAGUCUCUUUGACUCACCCCCAACCAACCAAAGAGGUCCGGCUCCCACCAUGCAAGCCAGCCUCUUUACAGGAUGACCGCCCCCCCCCCCCCCCCAAAAAAAAAAAAAAAAAAAAAAACCCCCCCCCCCGCCCGUGCCCGCACUCAGCUUGAGCGUUGGAGGACAGGAGAGGAAAAGGGGGAGGGGGAGGAAAGCUUCUUUCCGACGCCCCCUCCACCAACCUCCCCCGGCAGGGCAGCACCACUGACCUCAUUCGCCCAACUGUAUCCAGGCCUGCUGGGCUCCAGGCCAGUGGGGCGCUUCUCUCUCCACCUCCAGGGAAUUCGAGGGAUCCCCAAGCGCUCCGGGCGCCCCGGCCCGGGCCCGGUGGCCAGGACUCGGUAGAUCCAGUCGCCUCUGGUUGCUGAGUUAAUAAUCCGGGAAUGGGGGACAGGAUCAGUAGAGGGAGGGAGGGAAGGAGGGCGGACGCGGUGCGGGCGGCCGGCCGGGGGCUGCGCGGGGCCCCCACCCCCGGCGCGGGCUGCGGCGGAGGGCGGGGCGCGGAGCGAGCGCGAAGCCGAGCCCGGGCUCUGGGAGGUUCUCUCUUUGUUCUGUAAUCCCAGUAAGAUUGCCAGCCAUUCGCCCCGGCCCUAAUCCCAGCCCCGCGCAACACCACCCUCCAUUGGCUGUCAUUUACAUACGGGAUUAGCCCGCACGGCCCGCCCCGUGCCACCGUGGGGGAGGACUCACAACCUCGGGGCCUCGAGACUCCCCCAGCCACGGAUUAGAACCCCCUCCCCGGAGAGAUCAGAAUACAUCAAGGUCACCCAGAGGACGCCCGGAGGAUCCCUAGGUGGUUUGCCCUGCUGGUCACUCUUAUGCCUGGAGUGUCCAAGGUCAGAAGGGAGGGACCCCAGGUUUUUCUCUUGGAUGGCCUGGCCCAGGCCUUUUUAUUUAUUUAUUUUUUAUCUUGGAAUCUCAUAAAGCCCUGGUUGCAGUCAAACUGUUUUAGGGUCCUGAACACUCACGAACUGAAAGUGAGGAUAGCCUUGAACAACCGAUCCUCCUGGCUUUACCUCCAAGUGCUGGGAUUAUAGUUUAUACCUGGGAAGACUCGAACCCAGAGCUUUCUGUAUGUAAGGCAACCAUUCUACUUAUACAACUACACCCUAAAACCCUUAUUGUUGUUGUUUUAGGAUAGUUUCACAUACCCCACACUGGCCUCAAACUCUCUAUGUAGUUGAAGAUGACCUUGUACUUCUGACCCUCUACUUCCCAAAUACUGGGAUUACAGGUGAGCACAACCACACAGAGUGGUUUUGGGUCCCAAGUUUUAUUUUACCACCCAUCUGACCUCCUGUAUACUACUAAAUGGGGGAGGGGAACACUGGGGGACCCUCCCCCUCCAACCUCUCCAAAGCCAUAUGUCCCAAGUCAACCCAGCAGUUGGUAACCAGGUGGUCCCCUGAAUCUUUGGCUAGGCCUUUGCUGGGAUAGGCACAGCAGAGAGACACGUACCAGACAAGUCCCCAAACCACUCAGGGAGACUGUGCCUCAAAUUCAGUAAGUUAAAGGUAAACAGAUGCAGGACAUGAUAGAAUGUGCUUGUAGUCUCAGCACUCAGGAGACGGAGACAGGAGGAUUGGGAGUUCAUGUCAGACUGAGCAUCAUAGAGAAUUCUAGCCCAGUCUGAACUUAGAGAAUCCCUGUAAUAUAUAUAUUUUUUAAAGAGUUAGGCUUAGUGGCUUUCAUCUAUAAUCCUAGGGCCUGGAAGUUUGAAGCAAGAGGAUUUCUGAGAGUUUGAAGCCUGGCUGGCCCAUAUGAUCCUGUCUCAAAAAGUGAAAACACUCAGUUUCACUAGGGAUAUAAUUCAGUCAGUGUAUAGAAUGGUUGUCCAGCGUGCUUGCUUGAAGCCCUGGGUUUGACCUUCAGCCCCACAUAAAACCAGAUGAUAUGGCACAGUAACCGAUGGGAGGACUUCGAGGACAAAGUCAUCCUAAGCAACAACGUGAGUUUGAGGGCAGCUUGGGCUACAUGAUAGGUGAUCAUAAAAAAAAAGGAAUCUACAAGAUCCUGCCGGGCAGUGGUGGCGCACGCCUUUAGUCCCAGCACUCGGGAGGCAGGGGCAGAAGGAUCUCUGAAUUCAAGACCAGCCUGGUCUACAGAGUGAGUUCCAGUACAGCCAGGGCUACACAGAGAAACCCUGUCUUGAAACAAAACAAAACAAGACAAAAAAAGGAUCUACCAGAUCCUGACAGAACCUACCUAGUCUCCUUCUAGAUCUCCUCAUGCAUACACAUUAAGCCCAGACCUUAGUGACAAUUUAGUGACCUUGGAUGACCAUCUCUGGGGACAGGCUCACAAGCCUCCUCUCAGUGAGCCAACCAGAAGAGCCCUUGUGCCCACAGAGGGGUUUGGGCAGAGCACCAGGGAUCAGAAACAAGGCCAUAGGUGAUGGGCCCCUAGAGUCCUAAUAAAGCCUUGAGGCCUUACUAGCCA